rnacentral:rRNA from 1 species
UGCCAGCCGCCGCGGUAAUACGUAGGUGGCAAGCGUUGUCCGGAAUUAUUGGGCGUAAAGCGCGCGCAGGCGGCAUCGUAAGUGUCUGGUGAAAUCCCACGGCUCACCCGUGGAACUGCCAGGCAUACUGCGGUGCUCGAGUGUGGUAGGGGAGAGCGGAACUCCUGGUGGAGCGGUGAAAUGCGUAGAUAUCAGGAGGAACACCGGUGGCGAGGGCGGCUCUCUGGUCCACAACUGACGCUGAGGUGCGAAAGCUAGGGGAGCAAACGGGAUUAGAUA